rnacentral:lncRNA from 1 species
CAUCCCCCCUAUCUUUAUCCCCACGAGUACCUCGAUAAAAUUUCGCUGACUGAUUGGGCGAGAUUCCCGACUCACGAAUCACAAGUGCGGUCACUUAGCGUGUCAGAUUGGCCCCGAGUGUUACGGUGUGAGAGAGCGAGUGGGAUCCGCCUCGAUGCAGAAGGCCUGUGCUUGAAGGCGGCUGGAAGGUAUGUCGGAGGUGAUGUGGUCCAAGGAGGCGGGAAAAAAGGAGAACGUGUUUCAAGUUGCAGCCUCGCUCUGCAAUCGUCUGUUACGGCGUUGUCUCGCACAUCAGCUGGCCUUCAGAAGUGACCGAAGCACACUAAGUCAUAAUGUUGUUUUGUUGUUGUUUUUUUGUUUUAUUAUCUUGUUAGGGUCCAGGUUUAUUAUAGUUCAUGGCAUCACAUAGUUGAGGACAUGAGAGUGUUAGGACUGUUUUCAUAUUUGUGUUCGUAGAGGAUAGGAAAACAAUAUAGGAAAAAUUUUACUGUUAGAAGGAUAGCAAAACAGAAGGCAAAAUGUGACAGCCAAAGAU